GGCAGGUCUAAAUAUUAUGAGAGUGAAAAAUCCGCGAAAAUAGGUAAUAUGACGUCACAAUCAGAUUUAUUUCUGACGUCUGGUAACAAAUAUUCCAUAAUAAGAGAUGAUGUUGUUAAAAUUUACGAACAAUUUUAUUGUUAUAUCAUGCAAUUAUGUAAUAAAUAAUAUUGAAGCUCUUAUAUCAAAUAAUUAAUCUACAUAAACAUUAAAACGGCCUUGUCAUUCAUUCCACCCGGUUGAAGUCCACGCAUGCGCACCUCGAAAUCGGCGUCUCAUGCGAGCUUGUCACGACACAAUGUCGAAGAAGAUGGAUGCAUUGGCCACUUGGUGUUAUUGCAAAGUUUACGGCUACAACAAUGUGUCAUGAUUGUCAUCCGACAAAAAGGGUUACAGCCAGUGAAUGUUAUGACUGCAUGAACUAUCAUGGUCUGCAAGCAUCAUGUAACCUGGACAUCCAACUAGCCAAGAAACAAUGCAGUGGUGGAUCCAGAAUUUGUUAAAUGCAUGAAAGACAAAAGACUCACCAUCAGGAUUGUGAAGUGCACAGGAAUCCUGGGAGUUUGGUUGACCAUUAACACAAAUGGUAUUAAUGUAGGCAUCUGAGGAGAAAUAGUUCC